rnacentral:ncRNA from 1 species
UGCAAUUAAAAGGUCGUUCUUUGGGACUUUAACACAAGGGAAGUUGCAGCUACCAUGUUGGCUGCAAAAGCAAUUUUUCAAUUGCACCUGUUAACUGCUGGGGCUUACAUUGUUCUCUUUUUUUUCUACGCAAUUUAUGACUUCCUUGUUGGGUAUUGAAAUUACAAUACAAACAAACAAAGGCACAACUGUCGACGGCAAUAAAUGGGAACAUUAUAAGGACAGUAGGGAAAAGAAAAAGAGAGAGUUAUUAAAAAACGAAGGAUAAGAAAAAAUUUGAAAAAAGUGUUGGAGUUACUUUAAAGCAAAAUGCAAUGUAAUAUUUUAAUAGAGUGCUUAAAGCAGGCUCCAACAAAAUGCCUAAAUAUUUUGUUCAUGGAAUAAUAAAAUAAGAUCUCUGUUCUAUUUUCAUUGGUUGUUAGAUCAAGGGGUAAUGAUUAAUAGAAGCAGUUUGGAGGCAUUAGUAUAACGACGCGAGAGGUGACAUUCUUGGACCGUCGUAAGACUAACAUAAGCGAAAGCAUUUGCCAAAGAUGUUUUCAUUAAUCAAGAACGAAAGUUAGAGGUUCGAAGGCGAUCAUAUACUAGUUCUAACCAGAAACGAUGCCAGCUAGCAAUUGGGUGUAGCUACUUUCAUGGCUCUCUCAGUCGCUUCCCGGGAAACCAACGCUUUUGGGCUCCG